AGGCAGCCCAGCUAAACAUGUCAUGCGUAAUUUAUGGGUAGCAAGCAGAGAAUUAACCUUUGCGUGCACAUAUUUGGCCCAGAUGAAAACCGGGCGGGAUGGCAGCCCCGGGGCCAGGGAUGCGGGAGCCGCCGGGAAGACCCGCGCGCCGCUCGACUCAGAGGGACUCACACCUUCCCCCGACAAAGGUCAUUAAGUUAGGCGGCCCCACUGUCGACCAAGUGCCCAAGGCAUUGUGGGAGUCAUGAUUCCAAGAUGCCCGCGACGGAAAAUGGAACUUGUCAGCUCCUUGUCAUGGGAGCAUUGUGGGCGCCACAACUCAUUCAGCUGCAGUGAAAAGACUGUUGCAUGUCGCUGUGCAGCCUCUUAUCGCCGAGGUCUGGCUUCCGCUGCUGCUGCGCGGCCCCUCCCCCGCCCGCCCAGCCCCACCAGGAAGCCCAGGGCGGACUCGUCGAGCUCCUAAUGCACGCGGCGGCGAGAAAAACGCUCUUCAACUUUCCGCCGGCGCCCUCCCGCGCUUCCCCGGGCCACAGGGUCGCCUGUCAACCGGACAGAGCCCGCAAGAGCGGGUCAUGGGCGGUCGCCCAGCGGCGCCGAGAGCAGGAGGAAGCCGGAGCCCGCGCGGGCGCCGUGGAUCCCCUCGGCCUCCCGUUGGUAUCUUCCAUCUCAUGCGUUCAGCAUUGUAACCUCGCGGCGGGCGUGCAGACCGGACGCCCUCCCGCUUCUUCUACCGACUGCUAGGCACACCAGUGGGUUCAUUUUGAAAGAGGCCCUUGCACCGGGCUUUGCAAGGAAGCCGGCAAGGUUAGAUUGAAGGUUAGAAGCCAAUUAGACUAGAAUCCUGCGAUCUGGUGAGACUGCCGCCUUAAAAUGCACCAAACAGUUUUUGAACCUGGAGGGCUAACAGGCGGGAAAAACAUCUGCAAGACUGCCACCGUGUAUUUUUCUCAAGUAACAGGCUAUCCACAGUUUUGGAAUUCCUUAGUGAAACUGUCACACAGGCACAAACACAUGUCAGCUUUCCUUCUAGUUUGUAAAUAAUAUUUGUAAUUUACAGGCCACUGUAUUCCCAACUUUGCACCAUGUGAUUUAGAGAAAGCAAAGCUCCCUCUUUAAAAAUAAUAUGUUACUUCUGAAAUACCGGGAUAUUCCACGGCAAGUAAGCCAUAUUGUCGCCAGAGCAAAUAAACCGCAGCCCCAUAUCAUAAUUCACUGGGUGCUAUAAGAUGUAACUUGGCUUUGCUUUGAAUGGAAAGAAUCCUGAACGUCUGUGAUGUGAUGAAGUUUUGGAGACUGGGGGCAGGAUUUCCUUUGAAUGUAAGGAAUUCGGAUAACUUGUUCAAGGAUGAUUCUAGUGAAAAACGUUUGUCCCAUGUUUGUUGGGACAAAAAUGCUGGAUAUGGUACAACAUUCUUCCUGCAGGUUCGGUUUUGUUGAAGAGAGUGAGGCCAGCUCGAGGUGAAGGAAAAACAUCAGAAAGGUGCUAAAGUGCAGAAAUAUCUUCCAGAGGCACUAAUAGCCGACUUUAGUUCUUGACCUUUAGCUAGAUCCACAAAGCACUGAGUUAAAAUUGUACACUGAUCCCUUCCAGAACAAAUUAAUUAAUUAAAUGGUGCCUCUUCCCAGCGUUAAUCGUUUAAAAGGACUCAAGUACCCACACAGUUUAAGCAAACUAAAAGAACACUGACACUUUCUCAGAGAACAGGGAUGGGAACUUUCUAUCUGCCCAUUAGUAUCUACCCCAAGCUACGAAGACUUCCAUUCCUCUUAUUAAGCAUUCAGCAACUACAUUUAGUGCCUACUAUGCCAGUGAUGCAAGAAUGGAUAAGACAGUCCCUACACUCAAGGAUAACGCCUCUAGUAGGUGAGAGACAAACCGAUUAAUUCUGCAUAAGGGAUAAGUGCUGUAUGUGGGAAGCAAUCCAAUGAGGGCUCUGAGGAUGGCAAAGGAAGGGUUCCUGGAGGAUUUACAUUUAACUGGUGCCUUGAAAGGUGUGUAGAAGUUGGCAAGAUCAAAAGGGAGUAGAGUCCAGGUGGAGAAGAGAAAAGAGCAGGGCAGGCUGGAUGGCAUGGCUCACACCUGUAAUCCCAGCACUUUGGGAGGCCAUGGAGGGAGGAUUGAGGCCAGGAGUUUGAGACCAGCCUGGGUGACAUUAAAAGACCCUGUCUCAAAGAAAACGAAAGGAGCAGGGUAUAUACAAGGGGUCUGCCAGCCUUCUCAGCCUUUCUGUGAGAAGCGAGGGUAGGGUAGUACAGGAGAGUGGCAGGAGAUGACACUAAAAGUAGGUCUGUGUUGAUCUAACGAGUCUCAACUUUACUGCCAAAACUAAUGAACUAGGAAAGUUUAGGCAGCAAGGGCCAGAGAUGGAGUCUGGACUUGUAUUGCAGAAAGUUCCUGUGACGGCAGCUUGGAGGGUGAAUGAGAGUGUGGGAUGGAGGGGUGAAUGGGUGUGGACAGACUGGAAAAAUGACUCAUGCAGGGAAUGAGGAAGGGAGGAGCCUUGGGAGACUCUCAAAUCCCUGGCUUAGCCUACUGAAUUGCUUGCUACUUGCCUUUUUAUGUCUUCAUUUUGCCUCCCAUUGUCUGUGAUAUUAAAGGCCUAACUUCUUAGUAGAGCAAACUUUGCAUCUGCUAGCAGGUUGGUGCCCUAGCUAGCUUCCAUGCCCCUCUGCUUAGAAUGCCUGCGAACCACUAAGGACUAAUCCUAGUGGUAGAAAUUUAUUUUCAAUUGUUCUCAAACCCUUGUAGAAUUCCAAGUUAGAACUGUAGUGUUCUUUUUUCAUGUGGGUUAGAAAAUUUGCUGUUUGGAGCAACAUGGUGAAACACAGGACUUUUGAACCUGCUUAUGGUGCAAAAGGGGAAAUUAUAUUUCUACUUCAACACUGGAGGAGGGGGGACUUCUGGGAGCAAAAGAGAAAUGGAAACUGAGAUGAGACAUGUUUUUUACUCCAUGACAGAAUACAAAGAAAUACAAGGAUGAUCCUUUAAUGUUAGAAACAGUAGAAUAACCAUCCUGGUAAAUAAAAAAGGAGAAAAAAUGUUAUUUUACAUUAGAUACAGAAAAACAGAAUGGCUAAGAAAACUCACAAAGCAAUGGUCAAUCUAUAACUCGAGUCCAAAUAAAUUGUGAUAUAACACUAAAUUACCACUGAUUUGGCCUAAUUGACUAUCACUGGAUAACAUUAUAACAUGAAUGAUAAUAUUUAAAAUUUUAAAGCACUGUAACAAACACCAGAUCAUGUUAAAACUAUUCAAUCAUGUUGUCAGCUUUCAACUGCCAGUAGCAUCCUAACCACAUUUCAAACUAUGGAAAUUACUAAAAAAUCAUUAUUGUAAUAAAAAGUUAAUAGUUCCUCAUUUAGAAUACCAUUGAUAUUCCCUCAGUGCCAGGAGAACAUUAUGGUUUCUCCUAUUUCUGUGAAGUGUAUAGUCUACAGGUUCAUAAGUGAGUAUAUCCAUGAGUAUAAAAAGAAGGUCAUUUAUGGGUGGAGAGGGAAAUUAUAGAAAACAAUUUCAGAUGAAAUAAACUACAUUUUCAGAUAAAGGAAAGAGUGUUCACUGCAGGUUCCUGAAAUAUUUCAGUCCAUUCAAGUUUUAAUUAUACCAAUGAAUCUCAAUAAAAAUACAGUUAAGGAAUAUGGUUUUUAUAGAUAAUGUCAGCUCCUUGUUUACCAAUAAUAAAGAUAAAGAUAAUGGCAGCAUUUAUCUUUUUCAGUCCAAUGGGGAUAUUUAAGGUACCUAUGUAAGUGUGUGAGUGCCUGUGUGAAUUGUGACUUACUUCUUCUGCAUACCACAUUCAUAGCUCAAUAAGCUCUCACUGCCUCUGCAAUAUAACUUGUCUUUCCUGACACACACACACACACACACACACACACACACACACUCUCACACAAACAAAUCACCUAAAUAAAAAUAUCUCAAGGAGGUAUACUCUUUUAAAAUGCUAUUUUUAUUAUACCAGGAUAAAAAUAAUUGAUUGAAAGAUGGUGUCAAAACCAGAACCUAGUCUCAUGUCCUGUGCUUCCUAAUCAAUAUUUAAAUAUAGAUGGUCAAGAGAAGAUGACUCUAAAAGGCAAUCAAAAGUUGCAAACAUUCUUGUAUGGAGAAUCAAGUUUAAGUAGAUGCAUUAAAUUUAUCACAUUAAACUUCACAACAGGGUUGAGGAGAGAGGUGAGACCUUCUUUUGUAGAAUUCAAACUUGUUCAGAUAUUUGAAUACAUAUACUUGAGAGAAAGAAUUACAUGAAUUUAGUUUAUCUUCAAGGACCUUUAUAUAUUUCAUACACAACACAAUUUCUUUGUGCUCAUUAUUUAAAAAUAAAAAUAUGUAUUCUAAUAGAUACUAUGUAUAUAUUUGAUAUAUAAUACAAUAUAUUGUAUGUAUAACACGUAUAUUGCACAUGAAUGUGAAAAUAUAUAAAAUCAAUAUAUUUGCUACUAAAUGUUUAUGAAAUUUAAAGCAGUUAAAUAUUAUGCAUUUCUCAAUUAAGUUAUUUUACCUAAAAGUUGAAUCUGUAUCUUCAAUAUCAUUAUUUUAGGAUCUGGCAAUAGAGAGACAGUAAGCAAAUACAUUUUGAAAUUAAAAGUUCAAAAUCAUAGAAUUUUAGCAUUGAAUGGAAUGUUAGAGAGCAUCUGGCCUUGUUCCCUUGUUAAACCAGAGGAGUGCAUUAUUUAAGGAACUUGGCACCAUGGCAGAGCAGAACUGACAUCAGUGUCUUCUGACUCUCUCAGGCCAUUCAUUUUCAUUGUCUUUUUUUUUUUCUUAAAGACAAUAAGGACAAGAAGAAGCUCUAAAAUAGGCCUAACAGUUUCCCCAGUUUAAUGUAAGGAGGUGCUACAUGAGAUUUCCAAGAGUAUAGUUCUUCCUUCCUCUGUUUCUUCCUUCUUUCAUUUUUUCCUUCUUUUAUUCUUUCUAUUUUUUCAUCCUUUCUUUCUUCUUUCCAUACAGAAAACACUUUUCACACAAUGACUCUAUUCAUUUCACAAACAUUUAUUGAGCAUCAGCCAUGGCUAACUCCUAUUCUAGGUACUGUGGUUACAGAAAUGAACAGCACAGAUAAAUCACUUCCCUCAAAGGGGUUGCAUUCUACUAGGGGGAGACAAGCAACAAAAAAUAAGUCAAAAAUAAAAAAUAAAAGAUAAACAUAUGAGGUAAUUUCAGAUGGAGAUAAGCGCUAUGAAAUAAAGCAGGUUGGGGGGAUUUGGGAGAGAAGGUUGUGUGAAACAGGAUGGAGGACUGAGCUGGUCAUAUGCAGGCAAGGUUCUCGGUGAAGUGAGAAAUAACUGGGGAAAGAGCAUUCAAAGCAGUGGGGACUGCAUGGCAAGAGCCCUAAGGCCAGGGUUCAUGGUAGGGCUAGAGAGCCAAUGGUGAACAAAAACUACCUAACCUCAAGGAGCUUACAGUCAAGGAAGAGGGAAAAAAUGAAUCUCCAUCAAAUUAAUCACACUCAAAAUGCAAAGCUACAACCAUGAUACUUUUCCUCACUGGGAACCAUUGAAGUGUUUGAUUAUGUUAGAGGCAGGGGUGGGGUGGGGUGAUGGAACAUUAUCUAAAUUUUGUUUUCACAAAGAUAACUAGAUAACUCUUGACUGCUGUGUAAAGGCUGAUAGUCUAAUCUCAGAAGAGACUGCAUGAAGUCCACCACUGCUGAGAAUGACAGCAAACCAAAAGUGGGCUCUGUCUAGGAGGCAACAGACAGCAAAUGGCUGGGGACCCAGCAGCGGAAUGUGAUUUGGUUGAAGACCCUCGGCAAUGGGGUACAACAAACCUUAGAACCUUACAUCUCAGAGUUGAAGAGAAGCCAUAAGACUCAUGAUCCUCGAGAUAACAUAACUUGAGGGAAGGGAGAUGUGGUAUGCCUGUUUGUGUGUGACUUAUUUAUUAUUUGGAGUCAACACAAUGUAGAAAAUUCGAAAUUAGUGAAGGUAGAAUAUUUUGAUAUCAGCAGUGUUUCCAGUUCCCAGAGAUAGGGAACUGUUUGUAUUACAGUUUAUUUCCUUCUAGGCUUUUCCAAUGCAUUUUUAAAAGCAUAGUUAAUAUUGUACUAUAUAUGCAAUUUCUUUUCCAAAUUUAAUCUUUUAAGACAAUCUUAUAAAACAAAGGCCACCUCCCCCAUGUCAUUUAUAUAUAAUCUUCAUUUUUCAUGAGGUAAUGGAAGCUGGAGAGUUGGCCCUUGACCAAAGCCUUGCAGCUAACAAGAGGACAAGCCUCCUGCCCCACAGUGUUUCACAGCCAGUACCCCAAGCUCCUGAAUUCAUCUGUCUAAUGUGUAAUAUAUUUAUAAACACUCUACCUGGGAUGUAUGCGUACCUUCUACUAUGGACUGUUGUUAAAGACAAGUAAAUAUGCAAUCGUGGUCUUUCAAUAAACUAAACGGAUAUAAAAAUAAAUAUAGAAUACAGCCAGAAGAUCAAAAUUGACAUAUUAUCUAUUUAUGCUUAUAAUAUGUAAUUACAUGUAAUAUUGUAAAACACUUUCUACCAUUUCAUAAAAUUCUGUGUUGUUAUUUAGCCCAGAAUUCCCUUGCAAUCUUUUAAAAAUAGUAUCUAAUAGGGCUUUUAAUAUAAAUGUCGUAGUGAAACUGUUUUAUGUACUGUAACCCAAACAUUUCUACGUAGUAACACUGUUCCAUAUAGAAAACAAAUAUGAAAAAAUAAAAAAAAAAAAAA
rnacentral:lncRNA from 1 species